rnacentral:lncRNA from 10 species
CAGCCUGCAAGGAGGCGCCACCGGACCUGCACACUCAGGAGCAGACUCAGCUAGAUUGGAAGAGAGGAUGGGAAGACAAUGGAUGACCUACCUGUGGAGAGAAACUACCCAUUCCAGAACCUCCUCUCUGCUGAAAGCUGAACACUCAAUGGGAAGACCUGUUUGCAGAGAGGAGCCAGCCACUCCAGGGUCUCCGUUCUGCUAGAAGCUGAACACUCGUUGGGACACCCUUGCUGUGGAAAGGACAUCCUUACUGUGGAAAUGAGCUACUAACUGCAGGUCUCCUUCCUCUUCAUCUUCCUUAUCCUUCUGUUCCAUUGCUCAGUAAUGCUCCUCUUCAUCUGUCUCAUUCUCCACUUGUCUGCUUGAUGCAGGAGCUGAGGAGCUGCACAGCAAGGUUAAAAGAGCUGUAACACAAACAGGGCUGCAACAUGCCCCUUGCUCCCCACAGGGAGAGAAGAGCUCUGGCCCUCGGAGAAGCCCAGACCUGGGAGCUCCUUGAGCCCGGGCUGUGACUCCCUCUUUGGGGCCCUGGUUGGCGUCACUGCAUUCGCCAGUGCCACUGUUGGAAGCUGCUUGUGAUGCGCCUGGUCCAGGGGGAAGCUGUUUGUUGUGUGCCUGGUCCAGCCACCUCAUGGAGAGCCUGUGCUGGCACCUGGAGCUGCCCAACCUGGGCAGCAGCUUGUGUGUGUGACUGCACAGUGGCCACGCUUGCUCACACACCCCUAGCACACCCCUCUGCUCCACCCGUCUCAAUCUCCCUUGGAUCCGGGAUCCAGGUUGGUAGCAAGUGCGAGUGGGCAGAAGCAGCCCAGUGGGCCCAGAGCAAAACUCAGGCAAAGGUGCCACUAGACUGGCCAGGAAAGCGACACCCUAAAGAUCCCAUAAUGCUGAUAUGUUAAUUCUAUUCUAUAAGCACCACACAG